rnacentral:lncRNA from 1 species
AGAUGGACGUCUCAUCAGAGAAGUGAUCUAAGAGAGAUUUGUGGAAGUGCUGACAUUUCUAAAGCAUCAGCUGGCAUUUCUUCUGAAGUGAAGCCUGCCCUGGGGAGGAAAAGCGAUGAUUAUUUAACAGGGCUCAGACAGCAGUGGAUUAGGAGAGCAUUGCCAGGCACGGAAAUAACAAGAGAAACAUGGCUUGGCGAGAAAAGCCAUUAGGCAAAGGGCAAGUGGCUUCCUGGAGGUGUCCCAGGUUUAUGUUCAGCAAUGAAUGCCAGGUGCUACAUGAGUCUUGGAAAAACAGACUAUUUAGACAUAGAACCUGAACUGAACAGCCACCUAAGGCUUGCAGUCUACAGGGGCGCUGACUCAUCACCAGACCAUCAUGGUGCAAUAUGGUGAGCUGGCCUCAACCGUGGUGCUUUCUGAGCCAAAGCAUCAGGAAGGAAAAACAGGCUUGCUUUAGAGAACAUCAUAUUCUUUGAGGAUCUUGAGAAGAAAGGCUCCAUUGCUUCAUUUCCGUACAGACUUUAUAUGUAAUUGGACCAGUACUGCCCAGCGGAGCUUUUAUGGAGGAUCCAGACGGCUGAUGAGAGGUGAAAGUGCAUCCCCAAUGAGAAGCCUGCAGGGUAGAGGUACUCAGAAUCUCGGCAGAGCCAAUGGCACAUGUUAGAAAACAGCAGUUCAUCAAACCCUUUGGCUUUCAUAUUAUGAUAUAUAAAAAUAAAGCUCCGCUAAAUCUUUGU